rnacentral:rRNA from 1 species
AUUGAACGCUGGCGGCAGGCCUAACACAUGCAAGUCGAACGAUUGGCGGACGGGUGUGUCAUGUCUGGGAAACUGCCCGAUGGAGGGGGAUAUCUACUGGAAAAGGUAGCUAAUACCGCAUACACUCAGAUGUGCCCAGCUGGGAUGAGCUCUUUGGUGGGGUAACAGCUCACCAAGGCGACGAUACCUAGCUGGUCUGAGAGGAUGACCAGCCACACGGGAACUGAGACACGGUCCAGACGCCUACGGGAGGCAGCAGUGGGGAAUAUGGCACAAUGGGCGGAAGACUGAUACAGCCAUGCCGCGAGGAUGAAGAAGGCCUGCGGGUUGUAAAGUACUGUCAGCGGGGAGGCGUUACCCGCAGAAGAAGCACCGGCUAACUCCGUGCCAGGAGCCGCGGUAAUAC